rnacentral:lncRNA from 1 species
CAAGUCUUGCCGGGAAUACCUGCAAACGCAACAUCUGUGAUAUUUGCACCAGAUAAGAAGUCAUGAGCGUAGAAAGACAGGUGGGUUUCCUUGAACUCGUGAGUGGCUCGGAUCGCUGGAAAUGUAGUCAUGGCUAGAAUAACCAUGACGAAAAACAUGGAUGGAGCGCUGAGCUUUGGUAUGAAUUUUAACGCCAUUAGUGGAUGCAUGACAGCUAAUUGAGCAAACAAGAGAAAAGGUUAAUUAGGAAAAAUUAGGGAACAAUUAAGGUUUUGAAACUGCUUGGUGAGGUUCAGUCAUGGGUAUGCUUUCAAUUUCUUGUUGAACAAAAAGAGUAUACAAGAUAACUCUAAUUAUUCCAAGAAGAAGAAAAUAAAGCACACUCUAAAGAAAGCUCACAAAAACACUAAUUAGCAAAGCUUUUCUUAUUUAGCACUUAGCUUUGUUUUUCCUUUGGAUGAUUUACAAGGCUUGGGGACUUGGGUAUUUAUAGCAAACCAAAUGAAAGCUACUUAAUUAAACUAAGAUUAUUUACUACCACACAAAACACAUUAAUUGCACCUAAUUAUUUUUUCCACACAACCAUACCUAACAUUGCCUAACAUUGCUUAACUUUGACAUUGACUAACAUUGACUAACUUUGCCUAACUUUGACAUUGACUAACAUUGCCUAACAUUGCCUAACUUUGACAUUGAUUCUCAACAUUUAUAACAUGAAAAAUGUUGGUAUUCAAAGUUUACUAACUCAAUACCAAAAAAUGUGGGUGAUAAGUUUUCUAACUCUAUCACAUCUCUCACUUUCACUCUCAAUUAAAAUUGGACAAAAGAAAGAAAGAUGCAGUAAGUUUUGAGAAAAAUAUUCUGAAGAGUUUACAACUUUUAUUUCUAGAAUAGGAUUACUUCAAACGUACAUAACCAAAGACUAAUACAUGCAAAAACAAAAGAACCCCACAAGUGGCUUUAAUAACAAUACAAAACAACGACUUUCUAAACCUAGUGUUGAAAUCUAUCAAAGCAAAACAAAUGAAUGUGUUCAAAAAAGUCUUCACACCCUUUUAACACUUUGGCCACUUCAGACACACACACAAAAGCUAUCAAAGAAAAUACACGUAUAACUGUUGAAAAAACAAGGCAGCUAGCUGAAAAGUGUUCCACCAAUUAUGGCCCCUCAAUAGCUGUUGAUUUGAACUCCCAACACGCCGCCUCAAAUCAAAAUGCCUAGCAUUUCACGCAGCAACUUGAAUGACUUAACCGGCAGUGGCUUUGUGAAGAUGUCUACCACUUGUUCCUUGUUUGUGACAAUAGACAAGCUCAAUUGUCUUUUGCUUCAUAUGGUCCCUCAUAAAAUGGAACCUGGUAUCAAUGUGUUUGCUCCUUCCAUGUUGGACUGGAUUCCUAGCAAACUUGAUAGCUGAAAUGUUAUCCACAUGAAUCACAGUCGAUUCCGCUUGUGGAUGACAUAAGGAUUUCAACAGAUUUCUUAACCAAAUUGCCUCACACACAGUUAAGGCUACAACAACGUACUAGCAUCGCAACUUUAGGGAGGGGGAGGUUCUAUUUGCUUUAGAGUCCACCACAUAAAUGGAAGGAGGUCUGUGAGAUUGUGACAGUGAGGUGCAGAGAAGAAGAGAGGUUGAGUGGCAGCAAUCCUGGCGGUGCUCAUGGCGAUUGGCUGGCGUUGACUGAGAUGAACAUCUUCUUCUUCGUUUCCCCUCCUUCUGUUCUUCCCCUUCCUUCCCACAAAACCCAAUUCCUCUGCCGACCACCAUGAACCACCACCACCACCUCUAGGUUCCAUCCAACCACCCAGAAUAAAACUCUUCUCUCCCUGCAUCUUCUUUUGGAUAUCGGAUCUCCCGACCUCUUCUCCGCCGCUGCAUCUCUUGAUGAAAUUGAAGUUCCACCAUAAAGCCAUGCAUCUCUUGAUGAAAUUGAAGUUCUACCAUAAAACCAAUUGGUAAUAUAGGGAGUAGCCCAAGACUAUAUAAGUACAUAGCAAACAUUGUCCCUCACCGAUGUGGGACAACUCUCAACACGCCCUCACACGUGUGGCGGAUUUUCAAGCCUACACGUGGACAACAACUGGGUGACGUGGAGCGUGUGUGGCCGUUUGGCUUCACACGAGGACAACCUCGCUCUGAUACCAUGAUGAAAUUGAGGUUUCACCAUAAAACCAAUUGGUAAUAUGGAGAGUAGUCCAAGACCAUAUAAGCACAUAGCAAAUCUUGUCCCUCACCGAUGUGGGACAACUCUCAACAUCUCCGACCCCUACAAACAAACAAAGAUUUGUCAAUUUUUGUUUCUUUCCUUUUCUUAUCUAGUUCAGUAUCAAACAUAGUAUAAAUAAUAUGAUCAUUAGUCUGAUACUGCACCAAACACCCAACUAAUUUAGUCAGUACUAUCUGGUGAGUAUUUAUCAUAUCUGACAGAAAUAGUCUGUACAGUCCGAGCUGCCAAACGAGGCCUUAGUCUUAGCACAAAUUGUUUUUACUUACACAAACAUCAGGGUAUGCAAAUUUUAUUUCAAAUACGUGGUAUAUCAUCUCUGAGCAGUGCAUGGGAACAUAUAUUUAAGGUUGUAGUGACUUCUCAUCUCUCAAAACCUUUGUCACCUUCUUGAUGUAGGAGAAGCCAAGGGUAAAUGAAUAUAAUGUGGGAUAAUAACCUGGGAAUCACUCAACCAGGGCAACGAAACUCGCUCUAUGUUGCUAUGGGACAUAACUUGAGAAUCACUCGACCAGGGGCAACAGAAUCAUUCACGUUACUAAUCAUGAUUUCUCUCUCUUUCUCUCUCCCUUUCCUUUCUCGUUGCGCAAUUUGUUAUUUAGGGUUAGGUUUGUAUGAAUUUGUAGUUUGAAUUGUAAAUAAUUAGGGUUUGGUACUGUUAUAUGGUGUUUGAAAUGUGUUGUUGUGUUGGGAACUUGGGACAGUCGCUGAAGCUAACAAGCAAGACACCGAGUGUAGAGUCGGGAGCUCAUGAUUGGUAUUGAAGGCAAACUACUACAAACAAUCAAGAGUGCCAAUUCAGAAAGAGAGCUGCGAUUCUCACAAAUUGUACAAUGGUUGGAGGCAAGGUGGUCACGACCACUACAAUGAGUCGGAUGUGCGUGAGCCAUAACUCUAUGAGGAUACAAGGAAGACUUGACACUGCAGAGGGUUUGAUGCUAGCUUGGUCUGUGAAACUAGGCAUGUCGAGGAAAGCAAGCAAACGCAAAACAAGUAGAAGACAUACUCGCGCGGUACCAUAGCAAGCCUAGCCUAGUUAUGCAAUGCAUAAGAAGCAGGGGUAGGUACGAUAUCUGAAGCCAAGAGAAUGCAAACGGACAUGAACAUGACACAGAGGUUAAGCUUAUAAGAUUUUAUUUCAUAAUAUUAUAUAUAGACUUUUAAAACAUAUUCUCACGAACUCAGUUUUGCAUUUCCAUCUAGGAAAUAAGCACACCAUAUAUAACAUACCAUAACAUAAAUGAACACUACAUAUCAUAUAACCUGAUCCAGCAUGAACUCAGUUCUACCCAAUUAAAUACAUUUCUGUUCACGAGUCAACCAUAGCCGAUUGGAACUUGCCUCCUACUAUCUCUCUUCCCUUUUUCACGGGGCAGUCUUCAGUCCUGUGGUCAUAAGUAGAAGAACAAAUCCUGCAAUAAUUACCAACAGCUUUUCCUACCCAUUCCUCACCAGGAUGGCCACCCUCUUUUUGACAACAUAUGCAAACGAGUUUACCGCCGGGGCCAACUUUUUCACCCUUUGGGACAUAGUACCGGUACGGACAAAUUGUAACCACAUGAUCCUCCCUCAAACAGAGUCGACAUCUCACGUCAUGAACAACAGUUGAAGAGUCUGCACAAGCAUUCAAGUUAGUCGAGCAUGCUAAUCCUAACUUUUGACACCAUAAACAUGUGACAUGCCCAAGUAAAUAUCAAUGACUAAACUGUGUUUCUAAUACCGAAAGAGGACUAUGCGAGUACUUCAAAUAGGGACUGCAAAGGGGUGGAUUGGGGCUAGACUAGCUAAACUUCCCCAAAACCCUGUCCUUGCAAGUCCAAUCGAAUUAAAGAUUCCCCAUACACAAAAUCCGUCAGGUAAUGGAUCCCCAUCAGUUAAAGGUUUUACCUAUCAUCAUCCUAUCAACAAAAAGGUGUUUUGAAUAGUUAAUUAAGAACCGUCACACACUAAUAUUAUCUGCAUGACCCCUUCAAAGUUGUCGAAAAAGAUUUAUGAACCAAACUAAAUAAACACUAAAAGCACAAAUUAAAAAUAGAAAUAAAAGCUAGAUACAUAAUAACUGUAUUUUUUGUUAUAUAAUAUCGCCCUCGGCGUCACUCUAUUGUUCACAAUUGGUUCGUUUCCCAGUGGCCUUCUUUGCACGUUCGGUCAAUAUGAGGAGGAACCCAAAAAACAAAUAAAAACUGGGGAGAGUCAGAGACCGAUAUUGAAUCAUAUACCCAAAACAGGUUUCUUAAAAUCAGACCAGAGUCCACAGAUUUAAUGGGUUAGAUUGUCUUGCCUAACUUUAACAGUCAUUCCGCUAUUUCGAUCAUCAGUCUCGAGAGAUUAUGUUAUGUAAAAGAGAGGCGCGAUCAUGGUUGCACCAUCAUCAAAUGAAUCGCCCAGCCUCACCAAAAUGUAAAAGGGAGAAGAAAAAGCAGAGAAAAAAAUACAAAAAACAUACCAAAACGCGGGCAUUGCUUAGUCAUGUGGUCAUCGCUCUUCUUACAAAUUCUACAGUAGAUGGGAGGCGGGGAUAUGUGGUUGGAGACAAAAACCAUCGACCCGUUUUUGGUUUGUCAUCUGUCUGUGCUUCCGCUGUAAAAUAAUUACACAAACUUAAUAUCAACAUGGAUGAAUAAUAUGUACUGUUUCCCGUAUUUGUACAAAAGAAAUGAAAAAAAACACUCUUCAUCUUCCUCAUAAACUGAAAAAUUCAGAGAUUGGCACACCCGAAUCACAAACAAAAGUCGAAUAAAAUAAUAAACCUGACUAGUCUUGUUAAUUCGGGGGACAUACUGGUGUUCUUCCUUUCUUUGAGGGAUGAUCUUCGUGCCCUUAUCUCACUCAAUUCUUUUUUCGCUGUUAAAUACACAAAAUUUAAAGAAAUAAUAUCUGGGAUAUACGGGCUUGCUUGCAAAAUUAAUCACAAAACCCUAAAAUUAAAUCAAAGAAAAAAAAAAACAUCAAAACCAUACCGGUCAUUCGAGCAUUAUAGUUUUCCUCGAUAGCAAAAUAAACCUUUCCCGGGGGGAAGUCCUCGAAUUCAUCAUCAUCGCUAUCGUCCCAGUGCCAUAUGAGCUUCCCCCGCUUGCGCAGCUCGUCUGCGUUCGGUGGUAAGUCCGGGAUAUGGCCCUGGAGGGAUUCUGGAUCUGGACUCAAGAGUUUUUGUUUCUUGCUCUGGCGCUCGGACUCGUUACCGCUCUGGCUCAUGGCUGUGUGCGAAAGAGAGGAGAUUCCGGUGGGGAGCCUGGCCUUGUGAAUUGUGAUGAUAAGGGUUUGUUUUUCCCUUUUUCAUUAUUAUUUUUAAUUUCUGUUUUUGGUAAAGGUAUAAUCGCAUUGGAUUUUGAAAUUUUUUUUUACUAACACGUGAAUGUGGUAUGUGUACCAUUACUCGUAAAUAAUAUGUUUUGUUAAUGCGAUAAGGUUAUUAUCAAAUAUAAUCACAUUGAAAAUAAAUUUUUUGAAACUAUAUUUUAAGUCAGAUUUGACCUGUAUCAAUAAAUUUAACGAUUAGAUAUAAAUAUCUGAACUUGUGUAGAAGCUAAUCCAACAUUUUGAUAUGGUUUUCUUAUUGUUUUUCAUAAUCUUGUUUGACAUAUUAUCUGCUUGUGAUAUCUUGAAAACAGAGGAUGCCCACUACGGUUGCAGUUAUUCUAGUUGAUGAGGGCACCAUACAUUUGCAGUGGAUACUAGGGGUUUCUACGAGAUUAAUGAAACUAAAUCUCAUUAUAUCAUGAUGAGGAUAUGAGUUUAACUCAAGACUAUUUAGUUUGAAGUGUGGGACACGAGGAAAUAAUCGAAGUUUGUUUGAACAUUUGGAUAAACAUGUGCAAAAGCCUUUUAAAACAGGUAAUGCACCUUAUAGCUAUAUAUAUAUAUAUAUAUAUAUAUAUAUAUUAUAAGAUAAUGAGACUUUGAAUUAAUGUAGGACAUAAACCUUAUCGUUGAAGGAUUCGCAACGGAAACUAUGCGAUUCAUAGAUAAUACAGGGAGAUGUCUUUGAAAUUGCCAACUUUUUUGUAGGAAGUGAUUCCGUUGCGACUCAUUCAAUAGUAUGGUUUAUGUCCUACAUUAAUUCAAAGUCAGAUGACAUUGUAAUAUAAUAUAAUAUAUAUAAGGUGCAUUACCUGUUUCAAAAGGCUUCGCACAUGUUUAUCCAAAUAUUCAAACAUACUUCAAUUUUCUUUGUAUCCCACAAUUCAAACCAAAUAGUCUUAGUUAAACUCAUGACCCUCAUCAUGAUAUCCAUGAGAUUCAGUUUCACUAUUCUCGUAGAAACCCCUAGUAUCCACUGCAAAUAUGGCGCCCUCAUUAACUAGAAUAACUACAACCGUAGUGGGCAUCCUCUGUUUUCAAGAUAAAAGAAUAAAGCAGGUAAUUAAAAAAUUCCCAUCACAAGUAGAUAAUAUGUCAAACAAGAUUAUGAAAAACAAAGAAAAUAAGAAAACCACAUCAAAAUGUUGGAUUAGCUUCCACACAAGUUCAGAUAUCUGCAUACGUGUAACUACAUAAUGAAUUAAACUCCAUACUUUGAAGAUCAAGGUUUCAUUUCACAUACUUCAUAACAAACCUUUUAUCUAUAUAAACAGAUCCUUUAACAAGAGGAGUUUAUGAGUACAAUUGAAAUUGACAUUGAAACGUUCUCAUACAGUCAAAGCAAUGAUAAAAGCAAGCAACUUUUGAUUGGAGCUGCAAUUUCACAAACAUAAACAACAAAAGAGUUUUAAAUUUGUCCCUACUCCUUCAGACACCACAAGAGCAAAGGACUAUCUAUCUUACAAUUCCCCUCCCACCCCCGACUCAGACGUGUACAAAAUCCCCAUAACACAGCAACUUUGAGGAAGAUAAACAACAACAGGGGAAACAAAAAGGAAAUUAAGAAAACCCCACUUUCAAAUUAGAAGUAGAAACCCAAUUUCCGACAAAUCAAUCAGUAAACCGUCAAUCACAAAAUAAAAUUCCAAAGAAACCCAAAUCCAAUCAAACAGAAAAGUUAACAAAGAAAAGGAAGAUAGUCAACACUCCUUCCUUUUGUGAUGUUUAACAUACAACAAUGUGUUACAUGUCUUACAGUCUUAUCGUCAAAAUGUAAGACAUGCCACACUAUUCAGACAACCCAAGGAGGACUACAGCAGCAAGCAAAAAGAAAUAUUCAAAUAGCAUUAAAGGAAAUAUGCACUGACAAAUAAAGAAGACAACCACAUCAGCAAUCUCAAUAAACAACAGUUGACAAAUAUCAUGUUCUGUGAAAUGCAUUUGAAUGAACCCUUUGAAACUUUGUACCAUAUAAUCACUUUCAAGAGAAUCAUAACUAAAUUAAUUUAUCAUAUUAGCCUUUAAAUCUUAUACACUUAUACAAUAAUCUCUAUUGUCUUUCAUAUUAGCCUUUAUCAUAUUAGCCUUCAUAAACCUGCAGCCGCAAAACAUGAUCAGAUUCAGAGACAUUGCCACCAUUGUAAGGGUCACAACUUUCAUAUUUCUACUUAUGUACACACACAUGAAGAUAUUUCUUAUAUCAAAACAUCAGGUCAUGUAGUUUUUUUAGCUGAGGAGUUGUUGUUAGCAUAUCUAACGGUGUAAGUAUAUGCUUCAAUCAUGUAGAAUCUCAUAUUUACAUGGUUGUUAGCUUGGUCAACAAUGUAAUCCUUCUCAAGAACUUCAACUUUCAAGGAUUAUUGGUAUUCUAAAAUCAUAUCGUCGCUCUAGUUGCAGGAGAUGCUGGAUUCAAACAUCACUCUAAACCCCCUAACCACCACUUAUUAAACUUAAGAGAUGCAAGGUGAAGAUGCACAUGUAUGAAUAUCUAAAAACCACCGAUAAAAAUAAACUCAAUAAACCCAGCUGCAACAGAUCUCAAAAACCACCGAUAAAAAUACAGAAAUGACAAUCCAACCAACCACCACACUUCAUGCAAUUCUACACAAUACAGAAAACAAGAGAGAGCAAGUUACAGAUAUAUUACCUCAGGUAACUUGGCUCACUGUAAUAAACUGAUACCACAACCAGCACUGGAAUCACAACCUGCAGAAAGAGGCAGUUUAAUUCAUCAUUUCAUAUCCUGUUCUCUGCUCUCCAUUACAUAUUUAUACUCCUCAUAACAGGAAAAACCCUAACUACUUGGACAUAAGGAUAAAAGGCUGGUAUGGCCGGCUGCAAGAGGACAAGUAGUGGGCUCAAGUAAAUGGGCUUAACAACUCCCACCCUUAUAUUUUCAGUCGGGCAUUUGGUUAUCAAAUUAUUUUGGGACCAAAAUAAAUAAAUAUCAUUAUAUUGUGUUGUUCUUUCAAAUUAUUCUGGGCAAUCAAUUAGAGGUAUAGAAUAUAAUCGUCACAUAAUUUUCAGAAAUGACCUAUUAAGCGAAACUCUGCCUUCCAUACUGAAAUACGUGUUCUUAUUCCACAAAAAUAACACUCAAACAUGUGUAAUUUUUCUCUUUGUUCCAUCGGGGGUUCUUUAAGCAGUGUUUCUAAAGGGAUGGGUAUAUUUAUACUUUGAAAAUAAGGAAAACUAAUGAAAAUGGAUUGAAAACUUUGAGUUUUAACAAUAAGGAAAACUUUGACUUUUUAGUAUAAAAAUGUGGUUUUUCAUUAAAGUUAACAGUACCACGAGUUUUUCGUUAAAACUCCCAUGAAUAUAUGACAUAUUUAUUUCCUCUAAUCAAAACAGCGGGAUAUGGUUUCUUCAAAUUAAAGGUGAGGAUUUAGGUUCCAUUAGAAUAACAAUAAGAAAACAAUUAAACAUCAACACAUUAGGACACGGUUCACUCACAAUUUCCAGAAUUUCCAUUACUAAAUUCAAUUGUAGUAUAAAGAUUAUAUCCUGAUAUUCCAGAAGUGAUACCAACAUAUAUAUCAACAGCAAACUUACAGAUUCAAUCAAGCUCAACUAUUAUCGCAUUUGACUCCUCGGCACAUUCGACCAAACCCGACCAUCCAAUCUAUCCACCAACUGAGAGAUUAGGACACUUUAAGGGCCCGUUUGUUUGACCUUCUUAAGUUUCACUGGACUAGACUCACUUACUAGUCCAGUGUUUGGUGAAAGCGGGACAACGUUUAAUGGUACUAAGUCGGACUCGUGCCGACUAAGUCCUUCACUGCGUGGUCUUAGCGAGGCCCCUCAAAACGUUUGGGAUUGCUAAUCCCGUCUCCGAACUUGCGUUGUGUGCAACAGUGUUGUCUACAAGCAUGCCUCUCUGCAACUCCAUUUGCCUCCAUGCCCAGAUCUUAAACCCAGAUUUGAAACCCAGCCCACCCAUGCCCAUAUCCGAAACAAAAAAGCAAAACGAAAACAACAAUCUCAGUAAAAAUUCUUCCCUCUUCCCAGAAAAUUCCAAGGAGUGAGAAACAGAGGCAGCAAAGUCCAUGGCGAUGGGUACCGAGAGGACGAAGCCUCUGCAUAAUUUCAGCUUUCCGUGGGAUGUGAAGUGGGUGAUGUUGCUUGCCAGGGAGAGAUGAAGUGCAGAGGCAAGAGGCAAAGAAGAUGAAGUGAAGAGGUAGAUGAUUUGCAAUAAAAAACGAAGUGACAAAAUGGGAGAAAAGGGGAAUGGGGAGGGAGAGGCGGAGAAAACAAUGAAUGAAGACAUAGGGGAGGAUUCUAGAAAAACAGGGAAAAAGAAAGUAAUAAUAAAAUAUUAAUUGAUAUUAAAUUAAAAAUAAAAUAUUAAUAAAUAUAGAUUAAAUAAUAUAAUAUUAUAGUCCUGCUUCUUAGUCUGACACUGCACCAAACGCUUCACUAAGUCAGUCCAGCUUAGUCUAGUCUAAGCCAAUCCAGCUUAGUCCCUGAAGCUAGUCCAGUCCGAGACAGUCCGGUGCAACAAACGCACCCUAAAAGGAUAAUCAAGCACAACAACAGUCGGUAGAUACCUACCUUUUAAGUUAUAUCCAUGGCCGCCCAUUUUAGCUUGCUUGCACAGAUAGAAAAGUGAUGCAUAUGCUAAUGUGAACUUUGCAUAUGCAAUCCAACGUUUGAACUCUUGGCCACUUCCUUCAAAUAAAUUUUUUACCAAAGUGAUGCAUACAAAAUGGUGCACAAUAAGGAGAGCACAGUUCAGGGAAUCAACUAUUCGAAUGGAGGGUAGCACAUGCCUGAAGAAUGCAUGCAAAAUGAGCGUCACAGAUUUAAUGGAUUAGAUUGUCUAGCCUAACUUUAACAUAGUCAUUCUGCUAAUUUUGAUCAUCAGUCUCGAGAGAUUAUGUUUUGUAAAAGAGAGACGCGAUCAUGGUUGCACCCUCAUCAAAUGAAUCGUGCAACCUCACCACAAAGUAAAAAGGAGAUGAAACAGCAGAUAAAAAAAAUACAACAAACAUACCAAAACGUGGGCAUUGCUUAGUCAUGUGGUCGUCGCUCUUCUUACAAAUUCUACAGUAGAUGAAAGGCGGGGUAUGUGGUUGGAGACAAAACCAUCAACCCGUUUUGGGUUUGUCAUCUGUCUAUGCUUCCGCUGUUAAAUAAAUACACAAACUGUUUACACCUAAAAUGUGCCAUUCGGGCUAAAUAUGGUAAAUAUGGCAUUUGGAGGAUGAUGGGACAAAACAUUGAACUUGGAGAGAUAUUUGGCUGCAAGUGGGAUAGUUUGAACAUUAUAAUAUUGUUUUUUCCUUUUGUUUUGGUGGUGGAGGUUUGCCAAGAGCUUUCUUUAAUCAAAACAAUUGUAUGUUUUCAUGUGGAUUGGAAAGGCACGCAAACAUCUAGUACAAAAACAUGUUUGCGCGACGUAGCAAAUUUCAUCGGGCAAAGUAUGUUUGCGCGACGCUAAAAAUAAAACGUUGCGCAAAGCUGUUUGCGCAACAAAACUUUGCGUGACGAAGACUGACGUCGCACAAAGUUUUGGUGCCAAACCAAGAUGUUUUACCGCUUUUUUCCUAAUUUUGCGCAACGUAGGUACACCUGCGUCGCGCAAAGGUUUUUUUUUUUUUUUUUGCAUUACUAAGGAAAUCUCAUGUCAUAAAAUUGAAUCCUUAAAUUGGAUUAAUUUUAAUUAUUAAUAUGCAUCGCUUGAGUACUUGCGGUGAAGAAAGAACAAAUUUUAUGAAUAAGAAAAAAAUAAUUUAAACAAUUAAAGAAAAUUAAAAAUUGUUAGAUGAGUAAGGACCGUAAGGUAACACCGAAAAUGAUAUGACAUGCAGUUGGGAAAGACGAGAGCAAUGUUCCAACAUCAACUUACUUAUAAGGUCUUUUCUUGAGGAAUCAACACUCAAUAACAACCAUAAGCUUUUUGCUCAACCGAGAAAGAAUUCAACCCUUUUUUUACAUACAUAUUAAAAAUAACAAAAUAUUAAUUAUUUGCAAAUUUGCAUUUUUACGUGUUUGUAAUUACAUCUUUGUUUUUGGAUUUUGAAGUAGAGCUAGCCGUAAUUGUACUUUGGUAUGCAUUGACAAAAUUUUAGAUACACCCUUUAAUGCUAAUCCAAAUCAAUAAUGAUUCUAUUGAAGGAUAUUUAAAAAAAAAAAAAAAACUGUGCGCGACGUAGGUACCUCUACAUCGUGCAAAGAUGUUUUGCGCGACGCAGAGGUACCUACGUCGCGCAAAGUUUUUUUUUUUUUUUCCUUUUGCUUUUCUUUUGGGGUUCUUGCAUUACCUUUUUCUUUUGUUGUAUCCACUUGUUUAAAAUUUUUUAAUUGACGAUCGAAUUAGUUCAUUGUAUUCAUAUAGGGGUUAGGAGUGUAGUUCUAAAAAAUCAUCAAAAUUGGACUUAAAACUACCGUUAAAUCGGGCUUUUCAUUUAUAAUCGUCGAAAGGUUUUGUCCCGUUACUUGAUCUUUGAACGUUUGUUUUUUGCGAUUUUUGGCGUACGCGAUCUCGAAGCAUAUACAAACAAGUUUGCCGGUUGGAUCGUUGAAACUAGUUUCGUACAAUGUGUUUCCCAUCAAAACGAUACAUUCACACUUAGAGUUUAUUUAUACUUUCAUCAAGUAUAACAUAAGAUUUUUUUGUAUCCACUUGUGUAAAUAUUUUAAAUUAAAGAUCGAAUUAGUUCAUUGUAUUCAUAUAAGGUCAAGGAAUGUCGCUCUAAAAAAUCAUCAAAAUCAGAGUUAAAACUACCUUUAAAUCAUGAUUUUUCGUUCAUAAUCAUCGAAAAGUUUUGUCCCGUUACUUGAUCUCUGAAUGUUUGUUGUUGUGAUUUUUGGCGUAUGCGAUCUCGAAUUAUGUACAAAAAAGUUUGACAGUUGGAUCGUCUAAACUAGUUUCGUACAAUGCGUAUCCCAUCAAAACAAUAGAUUCACUAAUACUUGGAGUUUAUUUAUACUUUCAUUAAGGAUAACAUAAGAUUUUGUGGUAUCCACUUGUGUAAAUGUUUUAAUUGAUGAUCUAAUUAGUUCAUUGUAUUCAUAUAGGAUCAAGGAGUGUCGCUUUAAAAAAUCAUCAAAAUCAGAGUUAAAACUACCGUUAAAUCGUGAUUUUUCGUUUAUAACCGUCGAAAAGUUUCGUCCUGUUACUUGAUCUCUGAAUGUUUGUUUGUUGCGAUUUUUGGCGUAUGCGAUCUCGAAGUAUAUACAAACAUGUUUGACGGUUGGAUCGUUGAAACUAAUUUCGUAGAAUGCGAAUGCCUAUCCCAUCAAGUUCAAUGGUAUAUAUAUAUAUUUAUUAAGUAGCUUUACAUUUAUUUAUCUUGUACGUAUAAUACUUAAGAAAUUGAAUGGUAUAUUUAUUUAUUAAGUAACUUUAAAUUUAUUAUUGUAGUUCGGAUAGGGUUUUUGUUAGAAAAAUAUAUUAUUAUGGGUUUUAUUUAUGUAAAAAAAAAUUGAAUUUAAAGGAAGUAAUUUCACAUUUUUAGUAUAUUUUAUAAUAAUUAUUUUAAAAAAAAUAUAACUCGCGCGACGUCACAAUGAAGUCGUUGCGCAAAAGCACUUUGCGCGACGUCAGAAUGUAUACCUGCGUUGUGCAAGUUCUUAAAAUUGUGGCGGUUCCAAUUGUUAAAAAUAGGCGCUUAUUUUGAAUCUUCCCAAAUUACUCUGGACAAAAUUACUCUGAUCUCGCCCUCUCUUUCACUCCGUCUCGCGUAGCCUUCCUCCCGACUGCACCCAGUCAGCCUCCUCCUCAUCCUUCCUCCUCACCCUCUCCCGUAGCCUUCCUCCUCGCCUUCCGAACAACCUCCAAGCCCCAACAGUUCUCCCACGACGACGAGGACUCCGAUUCCGAUUGCGUCGAGAUUAAACACGAACUAGAGGACGACGCCACCGAUUGCGUCGUUAUUAAGAACAAAUUGGAGGACGACGAUGCGGACGAGGUUUAAUGGAAAAUAAAUGGUAUUUGCACAUUGCAAUCUGACCAAGGUAAGACUAGAACCAACUAAGAAUUGAAAUCAAUUAAUAAUUUCAUAUGUUUCUUGAUUAAGUUCCUUGGAUUACUAUUGAUUUUGUAGUGGAACUGCCGGGGGAAACUAAAAUCUAAAAAGAAACUUUCUUUGUGCCUUUUGUAGUUCUUCCGCCGCUUUCACCCCCUUCGCUCUCUCUCUCUCUUCGAUAGCUUUGAGAGAAGAAGACUAAAAAGGCAUUUUCAGCUUGAAGAAUCUCUCUCUAUCCUUGUGGGAUUGUAUUUCUGCAAAUCUUAGUUAGGUUUAUGGAUAUGAGAUACAAAAUUGGACCGUGGGAAUCAGCCAAGAAAGUCGUCGUAUCUCCUGCAAUCUUUUCGAAGUAUCAGCCGUCGGAUCGAUUAACGCCUUGGUGUGUUCUUCCCAGAUAACACCCAGUUCUCGGAUUUCAUAUUUAUAUAUAAAGGAAGGUACUUUUUUGAUGUUCCAAUUCAUGGGUUUCAUGUCUCUAUUAAUUUAUUUUUUAGUUUUCUUUUGCGCUUGAAAUUCUUAUUUUCUAUAUAGGACUUUUGGAAUUCUAGACAACCAUUUGCGGUUUUUUCAUACAAGUAUUUGUUUUAUACUUCGUAUUCUAGAAUUUUGAUUGUAUAGUGAGAUGAACAUGAAUUUGAGGUUGUUAAAUUUCGAGCUCUAUAAUCACUUUCAUGCUAGUUUUUGGAUCUGAUAUCUCCAGUUUCUUUGUAUGUUCCGUGCAAGUUACGGACUUGUCUUACUAGCAAAGUAACCUGUACAUCAUGCUAGCUUUUUACAUCAUGCUGUUACUUGGUUUGUGAUGACUGUUGCUAAUAUUCUUUAUUUUUGUUUUUCGUCAGUUUUAUAUUCUAUAUAUGUUCAUUAGGUGGAUGUCAAGGGAUCGAGCUAAGUCUGGUGGUUGGGCUGCCUUUGACCUCAAGUAGCGCCAGAAACAAGGCCUUGAGCCUUAAGUUGACAAGGAUCGUUUCCCACCUAUACCGACCAAUCUAACUUCUCUACAUCCUCGUGCAAACUUACCGAGGAAUAAUGACCUUCUGGGCAGGCCUUUUUCAACUCUACAUCUCCCAUCUGUAGAUUGUCCAACUUUGGCAGAGAAUAGGGUUGGGAAAAGGCCUUUAUUAGAUGGCGAUUCCAGUGGGAAACAGUACACUUCCGUGGAAGAUAAUACAUCUUCCAUGAAGAAGAUCAUGUAUUUUACCCUUGGGCUGACGAUUUCUUGAUUGAGGAUAUUAUGGUUGGUAUUGAUAAUGAUAUGGAUAAGGCCUCAAUUUUAUUGAAACAAUGGUUUCCCCUAGCAGCUGUGAAGAGAAUAACCGAACUAGCAUUUCAAAAAACAACUCCAGUUUAAAUGGACCGCCAUAAUUUUUAGAUUAAGUUCCUUGACUAGAAACAACUUUUAUUAAUUUUUAUAGAUUUUAGUUUUGUUGUUAAAUGACUCAUUGACUUGUGUGUUUCUGUUGUAGGAGCUUUGGUCUAUGCUAGAGUUUAUGAGCUCGUAUUGCAAAAACUUCAGAGGUUAACUCGAACAGUAUUCUUAAGGUUCUUCCUGGCAGAUCUCCAACUAUUUUGUUUAGUUUCGUAUGGUGCGUUUGUCUCGACUUUCAUGUUUUUGACAUCCCAGUUUUGUGUUCAGAUUGUAUAUAUGUUUGCUUAUUGUUCUUUUUUUCUUUUCUCAUUCUCUAGAUUGCAAAUCAUCCUUUACUAGUAAGGCGUAUUUACAGUGAUGAGGAUGUUGUUCGUUUUGCCAGAAAGUUACCUUAGACAAAGUAGUUGGGGAACUUAAGAAUUAUAGUGACUUCUCUAUCCAUUGGGUAUUUUCUCAACUUCUUGAAAAUGAAUUUGUCUUUCAAAUUUUGAUACAUUACUAUCAAUGUUUUGGAACGAUUUGAUCAUCCGGGGCGUACAGUGUUCGUGUGCCUGUGUAUGUGUGUAGCAGAUUACAUAUUGUAUGUUGAUAUUGUUUAUGCUCUCUCUCUCUGUGCAGCUUUUGCUGUAUUAUGGUGUCUCUGAUAAGAAAUGAUUGCUUCAAGACAAAUAUGCAUUGCUUUCUUCAAAAUCUCAGGUAUAAUGCUACUUUAAUAACUUCACUAACCAAUUGAUCUGAGUCAAAAUUUGGAGAGAGUUGUCAUAUGAUACUCUCUGCUCAAAACUGAGGAGAGUUUUCUUGUUUAUGAUGGCAUUGGCUGAACUUCUUCCUUCACUGAAGCUAGCUGGGCAUCGUGUUUCAGCCAAUGGACGUCAAUGCUUGAUAUUUUGGAGUGGACUUUGUGUUACAUACAGACGACUUGAUGGAAGGUACUGGUGUACUUUUAUCACAUUUACGGAUUGUUCUUAUCAUAAAACAAUGUGCCAUGCCACAUGGUAUAUCUGUUUUAUAAUCUGGCUUGCUCAGUUCCACUUGUUGAUUGUGGUUAAUUGAAUUGUUACCUCAUUUGUUGUAAGUUGCGUUUCUUGUCUGUUAACCCAUAUCUUCUGAGUGUCAGCACUCAGGUGACAGAAUGAUAGACGAUAAUUGAUACAUUCAAUAAUGGCACUUCUAUAUUUGCUUGCUUGCUGUCCACAAGAGCUGGAGAACAGGGUUUGAACUUGGUUGGAGCUGAUACCGUAGUUAUUCAUGAUAUGGAUUUCAACCCGCAAAUUGAUCGACAGGCAGAAGAUCAUUGUCAUUGCAUCGGCCAAGUGAAGGUUGUUACCAUAUACAGGUUUGCCUCUCUUUAAUUUCCCAUCUCCCUCCUCACCUAUACUUACCAAUCUGAGAGAAGCACCUUUCAGGUUUAACCCUCACCCCUUCUUCCCUGCUUUUAUAAUGUGGUAUUGGUUUGAGUCAUAAACUUGAAUAGAAAAUUGUUGGAUCAUGUCCUUUACAGGCUAGUCACUAAGGGUACAAUUGAUGAAAAUGUCUACGAGAUUGCGGAAAGGAAGUAGUGCUAGAUGCUGCAGUCCUGGAAUUUGGCGUGGAGAUGGAUAAUAAAGGUGACACAUCCACCAUGAGAGAGAUAUUAUCGAAACUUUUUCUUGGUUAAAGAUUUUAGAAAACUUACAGUUGAUCUGCCGAUAGAGAAACUGCAAUUGGAAACCCUUGUAAUUUAGUUUUUGUAUUUUUCAAGUCACACCUUUGACCUCCCAACUGAUACCCAAUAGCUUGAUGUAUCAAACCUAGAAGACUACUUCUUGUAGUUUUUUUUUUGUUCGAACAUCUUGUAUGUAUAUUUUUAUAUAUAUUAUAAUUAAAUACUUUUUCUUGGUUUAUUAAUUAUUGUUUAGAAUUUAAUUACAAUAUUUAUUAAAAAUAAAAAAAAAUUAUUUUCGCCAAAAAAUAAAAAUAAAAAACAAGGGUUUGCGCGACGAAGAAGUAACCUGCGUCGUGCAAAGUGGUUUGCGCGACGUAGGUCCUUGCGUCGUGCAAAACUACUUUGCACGACGCAGGUUACUUCUUCAUCGCGCAAACCUACUUUGCGCGACGCAGGGAACUAUGUCGUGCAAAGUAGUUUUGCGCAACGCAGUUUAAUUCUUCGUCGCGCAAACCCUAGCGUCACUACAAUGGCGAGACGGUUGGUGCGCGACGACGCUUCGUUGCACUAAUUUUUGCGCGACGUUUUUUUGACUUUGAGCGACGAAGGGCAUGCGUCGCGCAAAGUGUUUUUUUUUACUAGUACAGAGAAUAUGUUAAAGUAGCCACCUUACUUUUUUUAAAUGUUAGUUUAUUACAAGUGGUGGAGACAUGUGGUGAAAGCAUGUGGUGGAGAUACAAAUUUGCUUAUUUUAAUAUUAUUUCACAAUGCAAGCUGCAUAGGAGUUUCUUUUGGGCAGGUCCAUUGUUCUUAGCAAAGGGACUCCUUCAGAUCUCUAUAUAAAGGAGCAGAGGUAGAAGGAUUAUGGACACUCAACCAAUCAAACAAACAAAUACACAAACUCUGCUCAAGCCAGAUUUGCAUAUAAAGCUGUAGUCAACCCCCAACCUCAAUCCUUUUCAGGAUCAGCCCUCACAAAAGUCAUCUUUUGUCUAGUUUAUUAGCUCUGCUGCUUAUCAGUAGUAUCGAUCUCAUUUGUAGUCUUUAUGUACAACUCAUUUUCAGUCAAUUAAUCUACAAGCAAUCAGCAAUAUUAGUCAUUCACUUUCCUCUGUACAACCUUUCCAUUUACAUAUUGUUCCAUUUCUUCAUAUAAGAAAAGUCCUUAUCUUUAAGGCAAACAAAGAACCUUGAUUUGAGCCACUCCCACUCAAUGGCACAAUCUCUUGGUUCGAAGUCAAUCUCAGGUGCAACCUCAAUCAUUCAAAACCCGUCUACUAGUGGCAUCUAGUAGUGGCACACUCGCACCCACCAAUCUCAUGUUUGAAUAAAUUCCUGGUAUGCCCGCGAGGCCCAUGACGAAUUUAGGGAAUGAACACAAACUUAAUAUCAACAUAGAUGAAUAAUAUGUACUAUUUCCCGUAUUUGUACACACACACACACACACAAAACAUUCUUCAUCUUCCUCGUAAACUGAAAAUUCAGAGAUUGGCUCACCUAAAUCACAAACAAAAGUCGAAAAAAAUAAUAAACAUAACUAGUCUUGUUAAUUUGGGGGACUUACUGGUGUUCUUCCUUUCUUUGAGGGAUGAUCUUCGUGCCCUUAUCUCGCUCAAUUCAUUUUUUCGCUGUUAAAUAUGUUUGGAAAGAAUAUAUUUUCAUUGAAUGAAUAAUAAGAUUACAAAAUUGUUGUAUAUAUACAACUCAUUUACACAUGUCACUACCAAUCACUAUUUAACUAACAAACUACACACCUCAACUAACAAAACAAAUAUCUAACUAACUCUAAGUAUUAUCCAACUGAAUCAUUUACAUAAUUAUCCUCAAUAUCCCCUCUCAACUGAGCUAAGGACAAACGAAGUGAUAGUUGGAUCGUAGAAGUUAAAAUCUAAGCUUAGAGAGAGCUUUGGUACAAAUAUCUGCUAGCUCAUCCUGUGUGCAAACAUAAUGAACAUAAACUUCUUUGGCCAAAACCUAUUCUCGAAUGUAGUGGUAGUCAAUCUCAAUGUGUUUGGUGCGAGCAUGAAACAACGGAUUCUUAGCUAAAGAUAUGGCAGAAACAUUGUCACACCAGAGUUGAUGAAUAGAAGGAGGUUUGUAGCCAAUAUCAACCAACAGUUUGUAGAUCCAAGUGAUUUCAGCAGUAGUGUUAGCAAGUGAUCGGUAUUCAGCCUUAGUAGACGAGUGAGCAACAGUGGGUUACUUUUUGGCAUUUCAACUAAUAAUGGAUGAGCCUAGAAAAAUGCAUAAACCUCUAGUGGACUUUCUGUCAAUUGAGCAGAUUGCCCAAUCAACAUCGGAGAAUGAUGUAAUUGAUGGAGUGGAUGAAAUUUUUGAAAACCAUAAUCCCAUAUCAAUAGAGCCCUUAAGAUACUUGAAAAUUCUUUUCACUGCUUGAAAGUGUGAUUGUCAAGGACUAUGCAUGAAUUGGCAAACAAGAUUCACAGCAAAGGAAAGAUCGGGCCUUGUCCAGGUUAAGUAUUGAAGAGCUCCCACUAGAGAUCUAUAUUAUGCAGGAUUUUCCAGUAAGGGAGAUGUGUGAUCCAAUUUGGAAGUCCUCAGAUGAGUUACACAAGGUUUUACUCUAUCCAUUUGUGCUUUCGUCAACAUAUCCAGUAUGUAUUUGGUUUGAGAAAUGUGAAUACCUUUGGAUGAUCUUUUUACCUUAAUACCAAGAAAGUAGUGGAGAACAUUUAAAUCCUUGAUGGGAAACAUGGAACUGAGUUGAGCUAUUACUUGUUUGCAAGCUUGAGGUGAUGGUCCAGUGACAAUGAUAUCAUCACCAUAAACCAACAUAAACACCAUUGGAUUUGUUUUGACAAAUAAAGAGUGAUCAGACUGAGAACCAAUGAAUCCCAGAGAUGUCAAAGCUCCAUGAAGUUUCUCAUACCAAGCUUUUGGAGCUUGUUUUAGUCCAUAGAGGGAUUUGUGGAGAUGACAUAUAUGAGUAGGAUGAAUAAGGUCUUCAAAUCCAGGUAGCUAUUGCAUAAACACAUGUUCAGUGAGAUUACCAUGCAAAAAUGCAUUGCUUACAUCCAGUUGAUUGAGAAACCAAUCAUAUUGUGCCGCCAACAUGAGGAGAAUUCGAAUAGUGACAAGUUUAGCAACUUGACUAAAUGUCUUAAUGUAAUCUAAACCUUCUUGCUGGUUAAAACCUUUGGCAACUAGGCGUGCCUUGUACUUCUCAAUAGUGCCAUCAGGUUUCCUCUUGAUCCUGAAAACCCACUUACAACCUACUAUAUUGGUAGAAUGAGAUUUGGGAACUAAAGACCACAUUCUAGUUUGUUUCAGUGCAAGGAACUCAUCUUGCAUAGCUUUAACCCAAUGUGGACAUUUAAAGGCCUGAAGGUAAGUAACGGGAACAUAAUCAUGGGAAAAGUGAGGAGGUAAAUAAUGCUUUGUUGCAGUUAAAGCUUUAGGCUUGUAGAUACCAGAUUUUGAUCUGGUUUGCAUUGGAUGAAUGUUGGUGGUAGUACUUGGAACAUUAGGAGGUGGUGAAGAUGCAUUGGUUAGAGGGGCUGGAGAGACUUGAAUAUGCUCAGUCAGAAAGACUGGAGUAUGCUCCUAAUUAGAGACACGUGAUGAUGCAUGAACAUGGGUGAAUUUGCUUGUAGAAAAUGUCAACUAAGAUGGAAUAGAGUGACAAAGUGGUACAUUGGAUGAUGUUGAUGUUGAGCUUACUGCAGGAACUUACUUGUGAAAAAAAAAGGUUGAUUCAUCGAAGAUAACAUGUUUGGAAACAUAUAUCUUUUGUGAGCUAAGAUCUAGACAUUUGUAACCCUUAUGAUUAAAACUGUAGCCCAAAAAAACACACAGUUUGCUUUUGGGAUCCAACUUGGAUUGAGAAUAGAGCUGCAACCAAGGAAAACAACUACAACCAAAUAAUUUCAGAGUGUGAUAAGAAGGUGAUAUGUUGAACAAUAAUUCUCAUGGUGAAGCCUUGGAUGCAGUAGGUAUUCUGUUGAUGAGAUAAAAUGUAGUAGCAAAGGCAUGAUCCCAAUAGAUAUGAAGAACUUGAGAUACUGUUAAUAAGAUCCUUGUUGUCUCAACUAAGUGUAUGUGUUUGCACUCAGAACAACCAUUUUGUUCUGAGAUGUGAGGACAGCUUAGUUGAUGAUUAAUGCCAUGCUCAACAAGAAAAUUGGAAAAUUGGAAGCUCAAAUAUUCACCACCAGAAUCAGAUCGUAGAGUCAUAAUUUUGGUACACAACAUAUUCUCAACAUGAGCUUUGAAUUUGACAAAAAUACUUAAGACAUCAUAUUUGUAUUGCAUAGGAAAGAACUAAUAAUAUUUGGUAAAAUAUCUACAAAGAUGACAUAAUACCUAUAGUGAUGUACAGAAGAAACAAAUGAUGGCCCAUAAACAUCUGUGAAGUAGUUCCAAAGGUUUACUUAUAUGACAAGGUACAGACACAAAUGGUAGUCUAGAGCUUUUACUUAAUGCACAACCAUUACAAAAUGUGGUGUGUUUAUUACCAGAAACAGAAAUACAAGACUGAGAAGUCAACUUAUUUAUGAUCUUAGCAUAGGGGUGGCCUAAUCUUUGAUACCCGAUAUCCCUUGAAGCAUUAACAGAGGCAGCAAAUGCAUGAGGAUGAUUAAUCACAGAGCUAGAGUUGAGAAGGUUAAAAGGAUAGAAGCCAUCUCUCACUGCUCCUUUAAAGAGCAUCUUCCUCGAAGAAAUAUAUUUCACAGUGAAGUGAAAAAGAUAAAGAUGCAUAGAACACCAGUUAUCAAUAAGAAAUUGAUUCGCAGAAAACAAGUUAUGUUUCAAAUCAGGGACAUGUAACAUAUUAUUAAGUUUAAAACUGUAAUGAGGAGUAUGUAAGCAAGAAGAUCUAGAGUGAAAAAUUGGCAAACCUUUGCCAUCUCCAAUAUAAACUUGCUCAAGCCAUGUGUAAAAUUCUGGAUUCUAAAGAUUGUUGUACGAGUCGGUCAUAUGAUUGCUAGCUCCAGAGUCAACAAGCCAAGUUGGAGAAGGAACAUUUAUACUGGCAACCAUAGCUGAGGGAGAAAAGUGACCAGAAAAAUUUGGACUCAUACACUGAAGACAAUCAAAUGCCACAUGCCCAAAGUGUUGACAAAUUUGGCAGGGAACUUUCUUGCCAGAUGAGUUGAAAUUGGAGCGACCACCACGAUUGUACCUUUGAUAGCCUUAACGAUUGGAAUUUUGUCGAAAAUUGUUGUUUUGGAACUGCAUCGACUCUGAAAAUUCCUAGGGUUUGAGAAAGAGCAUUGACCUUAAGCAUUGUUGCGCUCCAGACCACGACCUUGUGAAAAAUUGGAAUUGGAGUUGUGUGACGCCAUAAGAGCUUGAGAAGUAGGCGUGGGAAUAACACCAGAAGAAGAAUUGAAGGCCUGAAACGACGAGGAUUGAGAUGUUUUCUUCCGAUUGUUCAACUGAAUCUCCCUGUUGAGAAGAGGACCAUGAAGUUCAUCGAUUGUCGUGGAUCCAAGGUGAAACUGAAUCCCAUCAACAAAAGAAUCAUAUUCCGGUGAAAUGCCAUGAAGUAUGAUAGAAAUCAACUCAGAAUCUUCACUCGGAGCUCCAGCGCUAGCAAGAGCAUCAGCGAUCUCUUUAAUUUGUUGAAGAAAUUGUGCAGCAAAGGAAUCUCCCUUAGUUAGGCUUUGAAAAUGAGAUCGGAGCUCAUGAAUGUGCAAUUGAGAAGCAGUCGCAAAUCUCGAUUCUAGUUUGGCCCACAGUUCUCUGGAAGAAUUGACUCUAACAGUAUAAGGAAUCAACAAAUCAGAAAGUGUAGAGUUGAUCCAUAUAAGAAUGUUUUGAUCAUUCUCAAACUAGGUAACAUAUGAUGGAUUCAGAGUGCAAUUUCCAUUUGCAUUAGUGAGAAAUUAAGGCGAUGAAGCAACUGAGCCAUUAAUGACACCAGUAAGGUUGUAGCGACGAAAAAUUGGAACGAACAAGGCACUCCAGGUCAAGUAAUUUGUCAUGGUCAGCUUGAUUGGCACCAUAGAUCUAAUGUUCUGAAUUGUAAUGGAAGCAAUUUGAGAGGCGCCAGAGAAAUUAGGGCUUAAAUCGAUGAUCGGAGGAGAAUGAAUGUGAGAACCAAAGUUAGAAGAAGGAGAAGCCGAAGUCGCCAUUAAAAUUCGUAGAAGAAAUUAGGGUUUACAGGUGCAAAAAGCUUCAAGAAAGAGAAAGCUUAGUGAUGAAGGUUUGCAAGAAAACUUAGCAGCGAGGCAGAGAGGAAAAGCGUGGAUGUGGAUCUAGUCGCUAGAUAGAGGCGGGUGAUACCAUGUUUGGAAAGAAUAUCUUUCCAUUGAAUGAAAAAUAAGAUUACAAGAUUGUUGUAUAUAUACAACUCAUUUACACAUGUCACUACCAAUCACUCUUUAACUAACAAACUACACACCUCAACUAACAAAACAAAUAUCUAACUAACUCUAAGUAUUAUCCAACUGAGUCAUUUACACAAUUACCCUCAAUAAAAUACACAAAAUUUAAAGAAAUAAUAUAUGGGAUAUAUAGGCUUGCUCGCAAAAUGAAUCACAAACCCUAAAUUAAAUAAAAGAAUAAAAAAUCAAAACCAUACCGAUCAUUUGAGCGUUAUACCUCGAUAGCAAAAUACACCUUUCCCGGGGGGAAGUCCUCGAAUUCAUCAUCAUCGCUAUCGUCCCAGUGCCAUAUGAGUUUCCCCCGCUUGUGCAGAUCGUCUGCAUUCGAUGGUGGUGGUGGUUGGGGGGGGAGGGGGGGUGUCUGCCACGCAUUGUUCGCUCAUGGCAAUUUGGAAGAUUGCACUGGUGAUCGAGGUAGGGCUUAGGCUUGUGGUUUGGAGGCAAGGACGGGAAAUUAGGGUGAGAUAUGUUUAUUACGACCUACAAGCCAGACCAAAACAGAAACUGAUUCCUAGCAAAAAUAACUGACGUCCCAAAGUGUGUUUGAUUGUGUUGAAUGUAAUUUUCAAUAGGUUGUUUCAUUAACACCACAACUAGCAUAUGCCCCACUCAAAGUGUUUGUGAAUUUUUUUAUUUUUGUUUUUAAAAUUGAAGAGCAAAGAAAGAGAGUGAGAGAAAAUGUGUGGGAGUGGGGGAAGAGAGAGGUUUGUUUUUAAUAUAUAUUUUUUAAAUCAUAGAUGUUAAAAUCACCAGAAUCUAAGACUUAAACAAAAAAUGCAAUUUUUUUUUUGUAAAAUUACGUUGUUGCUCUUAUUAUUUUUUUUUUUGUGUGAUAGAAGAAUAAAUAGUCUUUUUACUUCAUUUUGGUUGAUAAAGAGCGUUCUAUUAAAGCAUAUGCAAUGGAAGUACCUAUUUAGAGACUCACACCACCACUUUUGAGUUCUAUUAAAGCAUAUGCAAUGGAAGUACCUAUUUAAGGAUUUAAAGGGAUUCUUUGUGUCCCUAAAGGAAUAUUGUCUCCAAUGGGAUAGUCCUUAUAGUAGGAUCCCUAAAUUUGAAGCUUUUAUGAUUUUAUGUGAUAAUUUGAUUAGGUGCGUGUUUUUUGUUUAUUUUAACAUUUUUUUAAUUAAUUGAAAGCAUGAAAAUUAAAAACAUUAAAAACAUUAAAAUCUUUAAUCAAGAUUGUGCGUCCCGUUUUCCACUCAAGGUGCACAUUUUUUUGUUUAUGUUAACACAUUUUUAAUUAAUUAAAAGCAUUAAAAGCUUCAAUCACAAUUUGUGAGCCCCGUUUUCCACUUAAGGUUGUCCCCAUACAGUCCUUAUAUGUGAGGACAUACACCAUGUAUCAUGUGAAUCCCUAUACUUUAGGGACUCACUUUCCGAUCAAUUGGAGAUUCAUUUUGUCUCUAUAUUUGUUUAUUACCCAUUUUAUUCAGUGGUUGUCUCUAUUUAAUGACUCCACUGGAAAUGCUUUCAAUAUGUUGAAUUCACUCACAAUUAAAAUUUUAAUUAUACUAACAAAUAAAUAAAAAUAGUGGGAUUUUAAUAUAAAAAUUAUUUUAAUUUUCAGUGCCACAUGUGACAUGAGGAGAAAAAAAAAAGACAAGUAAAAAAGUUGCUAACAUUUCUCUAAAAAUAAAAUAAAGUUGUAAUACAUAACAAAUACAUUAUCUGAUAUGUAAUAAAAAUGAGGGAAAGUGGCAUUCAUUCUGAACUAUAUAUUCAAAUUGGGUUCCUAAAAACAAAUUUUAUCUUCAAUCAGCCAGCAAUGAACUAGUAAUGUGCGAAUGUAUUGAAUAAUUGCAAAUUAAUUUAUUUGUUUAUUAAAAUUCUAUUCUCAUUAACUCGAGCCAAACUUAAGUUCGAGGUCAUGGUGAAAUUAUCAGCCAACAAACCGUGACCUCGAGCCCGAUCCACAAACGAAUCGAGCUGAACUUCAUCUUGAAUAAAUCAUUCCAGUCGAUCCUAGAACACAACUAUAUAUAUGCUGCAGAUAAUUAAACAAGCAUGAGGCCAUCAGAUAUCUGCAUGAUAUGACAACAUUUUUUACUUAAUUGACUAUCAGUUCAGUCGCCAGCUUACUAGCUUAGGCUAUAUAAUUUCCAAAGCAACAGAUCAUCUAGGGUUUAGCUAGCUGCUAAUUAAACUGAAAAAUACAAAUGGAAAUAAGAGGCUUGAUUUCAAACAUUGAUAAGACAAAAGGUUAAUGUAACAAGAUUUUAUUCAUAAUAAACGAUAAAAAAAUUUCACAACCAAACCGAAUUAAGCAUAUGAUAAAAAUAAGAACAUGAACUAAAUGUUCAUAGAUACAUAGUAUAACAGAAAAAUACACGCGAUUUCUUGCUAGUAGUGUUUCACUGUGACGUUGCAUUGUGUAACAAAGUAUGCAUUUGGAAGGUCCACAAAAACCGUUUUAUAUGUAAUAUAUCCCUGAACAAAUCGAAACUGUCCGGUACCUGAAACCACCGAUAAUUCUCUAUAUUGCUCGAAUUGCUUAUCAAUUCCCUGUAUCUGUAGAGUGCUUCCAUUGUACUUCUUGUUUGUGAAUACAAUUGAUAACAUAUCAUAGGCAUUACGUCCAUCCAAUGACGAUACCAUAAACAUGCCUUGUAUCCGGCCAACGGAGGCGGAUUUUAGGUCUAUGCCCUCCGUUAAAGGGGCAUCCUCCGCAUAAACAGUGGCAAAUUGAUCGUAGUUCCAAAUCUUGCCGGGAAUACCUGCAAACGCAACAUCAGUGAUAUUUGCACCAGAUAAGAAGUCAUGAGCGUAGAAAGACAGGAGGGUUUCCUUGAACUCGUGAGUGGCUUGGAUUGCUGGAAAUGUAGUCAUGGCUAGAACAACCAUGACGAAAAACAUGGAUGGAGCACUGAGCUUUGGUAUAUAUGAAUUUUAACGCCAUUAGUGGAUACAUGACAGCUAGUUGAGCAACCAAGAGAAAAGGUUAAUUAGGAAAAUUAGGGAACAAUUAAGGUUUUGAAUUGCUUGGUGAGGUUCAGUUAUGGGUAUGCUUUCAAUUUAUAACAUGAAAAAGGAGCAAUUAUUUCUGCUAGUCAUCUGUUUAACUUCCCUAAAUUACUUCCGUGUUGCUUCCUGAUCACUUGAGAAUUGUUUAAGCAAUAAUAUAUCCAUGCAUGCAACACACUUUAAUAUACAAAUACAUUAAAUCCUGUUGCCAGCUGACUGCACCAGAUAAGAUGUCAUGAAAGUAGUCAUGGCUAGAAGAACCAUGACCAAAAACAGCUUUGGUAUGAAAUUUAACGCCAAUGGGUUGAUGCAUGGGAGCUAAUUGUGCAACCAAGGGAAUAGGUUAAUUAGGAAAACUUAAGGAGCAAUUAAGGUUCUGAAAUUGCUUGGUGAGUUACAGUUAUGGUUCUACUUUCAAUAAAUAAUAUAUAAAGGAGCAAUUAUUUCUGCUAAUCAGCUGUUUAACUUCUCUAAAUUACUUCCACGUUGCUUCCUGAUCACUUGAGAAUUGUUUAGGCAAUAAUGCAUCCAUGCAUGCAACACGCCCUAAUAUGUAAAUGUCAACUAUUUGACUUCUAGAUUACUUCCUAAUCACUUGAGAAUUGUUUAUGCAUAAUGCUUACAAGCAACACACCCAUUAUAAAUAGAUUUUUGUGUACAUGAGGCAUCCAAUUGUUUUAUUUCUUGUUCAAAAGAAGAAAUUUUUUUUAUUUCUACACGUUUUCCCUUAAUCAAUAUAGUUUAGGAAGGAAGUAAAUCAUUACGGAUGCCGAUUUGAAGAAAGUUCCUGAAUGACAAACACAGAUAAACAGAGAAGCAAAGAACCAAAUUUGAUACUGUAUAAAUCAAAUUUUACUCUCACUCAUCUUCGCUUCUCAGGUUUCUUUGCUUCUCACUUUAGCAAACAUCAUCAUCCUCCCUACGGUAUCAUGAGUUGACAGAGAGUUGUGCCACAUGUGUGCCAAAUAGAAAAGAGAUUGCUGAUUCAGAAGAGAACAAAGGCUCCUGCAAUAUUUACUCACCGAGGGUGUUUAUGUUUUUGGUUAAAAAGAGAAUAUUUUGGCUAAAUUUCUAUACAAAGAGAAAAUUUUGGCUAGGUUUUCAAAUUUCUCGCGGAAAACCGAAUGGGACCGGAAUACGAAUUGAUUUUUCCAAAAACAAGGGAAUUUGGCUUAAAUAAUGAAAUAAUAAUGCUGAAAUAGUCACUUUUGGGAUUUUGUUGAUAUUUUGCUAAUAUUUAUUUGAUAAAUUUAUCAAGUUAUCACUGUUCUAAAAAGCAGUAGUGGUGGCCAGUCGCGGCGAUUUUGCUUAAAUCAGGAGAAAAAAAUCGAGAUGUGGGUUAGGCGGCUGUUUGGGCGGAAGUCAAGUCCCUUUGUGACCAUGACAACUGCACGAACACCAUGUAAAACCCCUCCCCAAAAUUAUUUUGCAAUUUUACAUUUCCCCUAAAAGUUUAUGUAAUUUUGCAUUUUGGUCCCCUUAUCUAUUACCCUAUUCGGAUCUUUUUUCAUAUUUUCUCUCAUCUCUUC